rnacentral:rRNA from 1 species
UGCGAAUGGCUCAUUAAAUCAGUUAUCGUUUAUUUGAUAGUACCUUACUACUUGGAUAACCGUGGUAAUUCUAGAGCUAAUACAUGCUAAAAAUCCCGACCUCUGGAAGGGAUGUAUUUAUUAGAUAAAAAACCAAUGCCUUCGGGCUUCUUGGUGAUUCAUGAUAACUUUACGAAUCGCAUGGCCUUGUGCUGGCGAUGGUUCAUUCAAAUUUCUGCCCUAUCAACUUUCGAUGGUAGGAUAGUGGCCUACCAUGGUUUCAACGGGUAACGGGGAAUUAGGGUUCGAUUCCGGAGAGGGAGCCUGAGAAACGGCUACCACAUCCAAGGAAGGCAGCAGGCGCGCAAAUUACCCAAUCCCGACACGGGGAGGUAGUGACAAUAAAUACUGAUACAGGGCCCUUUUGGGUCUUGUAAUUGGAAUGAGUACAAUUUAAACCCUUUAACGAGGAACAAUUGGAGGGCAAGUCUGGUGCCAGCAGCCGCGGUAAUUCCAGCUCCAAUAGCGUAUAUUAAAGUUGUUGCAGUUAAAAAGCUCGUAGUUGAACUUUGGGUCUGGGUGACUGGUCUGCGUCUACCGCAUGUACUGGAAACCCGGAUCUUUCCUUCUGGAGAACCGCAUGCACUUCACUGGGUGUGCCGGGAAACCAGGACUUUUACUUUGAAAAAAUUAGAGUGUUCAAAGCAGGCAUUUGCUCGAAUACAUUAGCAUGGAAUAAUAAAAUAGGACGUGCGGUUCUAUUUUGUUGGUUUCUAGGACCGCCGUAAUGAUUAAUAGGGAUAGUCGGGGGCAUCCGUAUUCGAUUGUCAGAGGUGAAAUUCUUGGAUUUUUCGAAGACGAACUACUGCGAAAGCAUUUGCCAAGGAUGUUUUCAUUAAUCAGGAACGAAAGUUGAGGGAUCGAAGACGAUCAGAUACCGUCGUAGUCUCAACCAUAAACUAUGCCGACUAGGGAUUGGGCGACUGUGUUUUUUGAGUUGCUCAGCACCUUACGAGAAAUUAAAGUUUUUGGGUUCUGGGGGGAGUAUGGUCGCAAGGCUGAAACUUAAAGGAAUUGACGGAAGGGCACCACCAGGAGUGGAGCCUGCGGCUUAAUUUGACUCAACACGGGGAAACUCACCAGGUCCAGACACAUUAAGGAUUGACAGAUUGAGAGCUCUUUCUUGAUCAUGUGGGUGGUGGUGCAUGGCCGUUCUUAGUUGGUGGAGUGAUUUGUCUGCUUAAUUGCGAUAACGAACGAGACCUUAACCUGCUAAAUAGCUGGGCUCGCUUUCGCGGGUUCU